CAGACUAUAUUUUCUACUUCUUAUGGAGUCUGAGAGUUCAGCAUAAACUGUAUUCUUCAAAAUGAAUUUCUGUCUCUGAAUGAGAUCUUUUCCUUCAGGCGUUCUUAUUCCACCUACCUAUCCUUCAUCAAUUUGUGCUGUAUAAUCUAAACCAAAGCAUCCUCACACUCUUCCCCUUUCUAGAUGGCAGAACAACCUCAUUCAUAGAAACAUGGACAUCCAACAGCCAAGCCCUGCCUGCCAACCCCAGGAUGCUGCUGCUCCCCACUGCCUUCAUUUUGUGGAUAAGUCCACAGACUCGGCUGUAAUGAGAAUCCCGGUGUGCCAAGAUUUUUUGACAUAACUCUGCCCAGAUAGACGGCGUCUGCUCUGAAGACAUUGCCUCAGCAUAAAUCUUGUGAACUUCUCUGAAAGAUCCAAUUUCCAGGUCGCUCUUUGUGAUAGUUGACAGACUUGUAAAUCUUACCCAGAAUUGUUCACACAUAAACUUAAAAAGCAGGCGAGAUGGAAACUUUCAAAGCUUCAUACUUCACUGUGAAAUGAAUAGGCACAGUGAAGCUGUUUGCAGAUUAAAUGAAGUUUAAAAGUGAUUUCACUUCCUAAAUAAUGUAUGAAUUAUCCAGAAUCAUAAACAAAAAGUAUAUUAGUGCUAAAAUUUUCAAAGUCGAGAAGACAUGACCUGAGUUAAAAACAUAUCUUGCAAUACUGUUGUUUUGUAUUAACCUAUGCAAACUGACGUUUACUGUGUUAAAAAAGUUUGACAAAAGAAAACAAAAAACAUUGGUAUAUGUGUGUGUACAGCAUUUUAGGAAAGAAUAUAAGAAAUGACAUCUACUAGCAUUAGCGGCUAGUGUGGUACCUCCUGUUGUUCAAGACUUAUGGAAUCGAGUUCUUGAUUUUUGUUCUGUAUAAUGCAAAUUUGUUGCAUUUGUGCUUACAUAUUGAAUUAGUUUUCAAGCAUUCAACCUAGUUUUAAAAAGAAAGGUACAAAAUUUAAGUGCUGGAUAGAGUUUAGCAAUAUUAAAGAUGAUAAUGUAACUUCUUAUAAGAUGUACUGCAAGGGAAAGAGGAGAAAAGACGGCUAUUAGGGGUUGGUGUAACAAAACUGUAUGUUUAACUUAAUACACUCUGAUAGGGCUACUGAUACAUUCCUCUU
rnacentral:lncRNA from 1 species